GACGAACGCUGGCGGCGUGCCUAACACAUGCAAGUCGAACGGAAAGGCCCUGCUUUUGUGGGGUGCUCGAGUGGCGAACGGGUGAGUAACACGUGAGUAACCUGCCCUUGACUUUGGGAUAACUUCAGGAAACUGGGGCUAAUACCGGAUAGGAGCUCCUGCUGCAUGGUGGGGGUUGGAAAGUUUCGGCGGUUGGGGAUGGACUCGCGGCUUAUCAGCUUGUUGGUGGGGUAGUGGCUUACCAAGGCUUUGACGGGUAGCCGGCCUGAGAGGGUGAACGGCCACAUUGGGACUGAGAUACGGAGCAGACUCCUACGGGAGGCAGCAGUGGGGAAUAUUGCACAAUGGGCGGAAGCCUGAUGCAGCAACGCCGCGUGCGGGAUGACGGCCUUCGGGUUGUAAACCGCUUUCGCCUGUGACGAAGCGUGAGUGACGGUAAUGGGUAAAGAAGCACCGGCUAACUACGUG
rnacentral:rRNA from 1 species